ACCAGGCAUGGUGGCACAUGCCUAUAAUCCCAGCAGCCAGGGAGGCUGAGGAUAGUGGAGUGGGUUAUGCUUAUUGGGUGUCCACACUAAUUCGUCAUGAAUAUGGUAAGCCCCCAGGAUCUGGGAGGCAAGUAGGGUGGGGGAAGGAAAAUCAGAUUGCCUAAGGAGGAAUUAAAUGGCCCAAGUUGGAAACAGAGUAAGUCAGAGCUCCUGCACUGAUCAGUCAGUAGUGGGAUCACACCCAUGAGUAACCUGGACUUCUAGCCUGGGCAAUAU
rnacentral:SRP_RNA from 1 species